AACGAACGCUGGCGGCAGGCUUAACACAUGCAAGUCGAGCGCCCCGCAAGGGGAGCGGCAGACGGGUGAGUAACGCGUGGGAAUCUACCCAUCUCUACGGAAUAACGCAUGGAAACGUGUGCUAAUACCGUAUACGUCCUUCGGGAGAAAGAUUUAUCGGAGAUGGAUGAGCCCGCGUUGGAUUAGCUAGUUGGUGGGGUAAAGGCCUACCAAGGCGACGAUCCAUAGCUGGUCUGAGAGGAUGAUCAGCCAAACGGGGACUGAGACACGGCCCAGCCUCCUACGGGAGGCAGCAGUGGGGAAUAUUGGACAAUGGGCGCAAGCCUGAUCCAGCCGUGCCGCGUGAGUGAUGAAGGCCCUAGGGUUGUAAAGCUCUUUCACCGGUGAAGAUAAUGACGGUAACCGGAGAAGAAGCCCCGGCUAACUUCGUGCCAGCAGCCGCCGUAAAAC
rnacentral:rRNA from 1 species